GAAUAGGAAAAGCAUCAAUAAACAAAAAUGCUGCAUUUGAUCGAACUUCUGAGUUUCUUGCCUUCAGUGCUCUCCAAAGGAUAGGUUUAUACAAUCGAUAGAGCAUUUCUUCAACUCCUUGACGAACUUUACUUUGUUUAUGAAAAUAACUCAGCAUCUCUCUAACUUUAGAAUAAACAGAAGAACUUCUGGGAAGAUGAAUUCCAU
rnacentral:lncRNA from 1 species